GUGUCUAUUAAUAAAGUUGAUACACUCUAUUAAAUGAUACAUAAAAUUGACAUUUUGUAGUAAUUUUCACAAUUUAAAUGAACCAAAAAAAAAAAAAAAACAGAUCAGUCACAUGGAAAAAGUAAGUACACCCCUACAUUUCUCACACCUUCAAAUCCAUAUAAUUAGAAUCCGGUGUUGAAGAUCGGGUGGCAGUGAUUAGAACCUGCUCAGGAAGUGCAGGUGGAACUGGUCUUAUUUAUACACCUUUCAUAUCUAGUGUCUGGUGUUCCCUUUGUUAGUGAGGUGUGUGGUAUCUCCAAAUUAUUUGAAAUACAUCAUUCCACUGUGAGGAAAAUAAUCUACAAAUGCCGCAGAUUAUAAACGACUGCCGAUUUGUCCAGGACUGGUCGUCCCGGCAAAUUCAGCCCAAGAGCAGACCGUCAAAAAGAAGUCCCCGAAAACCCCAGGAUUUCCUCACAGGAUCUGCUAGUAAGUCUUACUGCUGUUGGUGUUAAAGUGCAUGCUUCUACAAUCAGAAUGAGAUUGCACAAAUUUGAGCUGCAUGGGAGGUGUGCCAGGAAAAAGCCUUUGCAGGACUACAGUUUGUCAACGAGUGUGUAGGCAAAGACCAGGCCUUUUGGAAUAAUGUCUAAUAACAGCAGAUAUGUUUGCCAUUGACCAAAGACAGCUUUUCAGGAGAAGCGCCUCAUACCACCUGUGAAGCACGGUGGUGGAAAUGUUAUGGUUUUGGGUUGCUUCUUUGCCUCAGGGACUGGACAGCUUGCAUUCGUUGAUUCAAGUAUGAAUUCUGCAUCAUAUCAAAGAGUUCUUGAAGUUAAUGUGAGGCCAUCUGUCUGAAAGCUGAAGAUGAAGAUCUGAAAGUGGAUCUUUCAACAGGAUAAUGAUCCUAAACACACUAGAAAAUUCCUGAAGGAAUGGCUCAAAAAGAAGAAAUGGAGGGUUAUGGAAUGGCCCAGUCAAAGCCCGGAUUUGAAGCCAAUUAAAAUGUUGUGGGUGCAUUUGAAACUGGCAGUACAUGCAAGAAAACCCUCAAACAUCUCGUAACUGAAAGAAUAUUGCAUUCCAGCAAGCCUGGUGGACAAUUAUGCAAAACACCUACAAGAAGUUAUUUCUGCUAAAGGGGGCAAUACUAGCUUCUGAGGAAAAGGGUGUACCUACUUUUUCCACUAAAGAUCAGAUCUGUUUAUAUUUCUGUUGAAUAAAUAAUUGAAAAAGCUAAUUUUCCAUGUGGUUUUGUUCAAGUAUAU
ensembl:lncRNA